CCUACGGGUGGCAGCAGUGAGGAAUAUUGGUCAAUGGGCGCAAGCCUGAACCAGCCAAGUCGCGUGAGGGAAGACGGCCCUACGGGUUGUAAACCUCUUUUGCCGGGGAGCAAGCCUGAGCACGUGUGCCCAGGCGGAGAGUACCCGGAGAAAAAGCAUCGGCUAACUCCGUGCCAGCAGCCGCGGUAAUACGGAGGAUGCGAGCGUUAUCCGGAUUUAUUGGGUUUAAGGGGUGCGCAGGCGGGCUGUUAAGCCGGCGGUAAAAAUUCAGGGCUCAACCCUGUCGAGCCGUCGGAACUGGCAGUCUUGAGUGGGCGAGAAGUAUGCGGAAUGCGUGGUGUAGCGGUGAAAUGCAUAGAUAUCACGCAGAACUCCGAUUGCGAAGGCAGCCUACUAAACUGCCACUGACAUUGAUGCUCGAAAGUGUGGGUAUCAAACAGGAUUAGAUACCCCUGUAGUC
rnacentral:rRNA from 1 species